CGAGAGGACCAGAGUGGACGAACCUCUGGUGUACCGGUUGUGACGCCAGUCGCAUCGCCGGGUAGCUAUGUUCGGAAGGGAUAACCGCUGAAAGCAUCUAAGCGGGAAGCCUACCUCAAGAUAAGAUUUCCCUAGGACUUUAUGUCCUCUAAAGAGCCGUUCGAGACUAGGACGUUGAUAGGUUGGAUGUGGAAGCAUAGUGAUAUGUGAAGCUGACCAAUACUAAUUGCUCGUGAGGCUUGACUAUACAACACCCAAGCAGUUG
rnacentral:rRNA from 1 species